AACGAACGCUGGCGGCAGGCCUAACACAUGCCAGUCGAGCGCCCCGCCAGGGGAGCGGCGGACGGGUGAGUAACGCGUGGGAACGUACCCUUUGCUACGGAAUAGCCUCGGGAAACUGGGAGUAAUACCGUAUGUGUCCUUCGGGAGAAAGAUUUAUCGGCAAGGGAUCGGCCCGCGUUGGAUUAGGUAGUUGGUGGGGUAAUGGCCUACCAAGCCGACGAUCCAUAGCUGGUUUGAGAGGAUGAUCAGCCACACUGGGACUGAGACACGGCCCAGACUCCUACGGGAGGGAGCAGUGGGGAAUCUUAGACAAUGGGCGCAAGCCUGAUCUAGCCAUGCCGCGUGAGCGAUGAAGGCCUUAGGGUUGUAAAGCUCUUUCAGGGGGGAAGAUAAUGACUGUACCCACAGAAGAAGCCCCGGCUAACUCCGUG
rnacentral:rRNA from 1 species